UACGUAGGCAGCGAGCGUUGUUCGGAAUUACUGGGCGUAAAGCGCACGUAGGCGGCUUUGUAAGUUAGAGGUGAAAGCCCAGGGCUUAACCCUGGAAUUGCCUUUAAGACUGCAUCGCUAGAAUCGUGGAGAGGUGAGUGGAAUUCCGAGUGUAGAGGUGAAAUUCGUAGAUAUUCGGAAGAACACCAGUGGCGAAGGCGACUCACUGGACACGUAUUGACGCUGAGGUGCGAAAGCGUGGGGAGCAAACAGG
rnacentral:rRNA from 1 species